ensembl:lncRNA
UGUAUGUUGGGAGGUAGGGCCUGGUCAGAAGAGUCCACUCACUGGGACCUUGACCUAGAAGGUUAUAUUAUUUACCUGCCUUACUGCUUUCACUCUGUCCUUCCUGGCUGCUGAGCCAUGAGCAGCUUUCCUCAGCCAAACCUUUUCACCAUGCCAUUCCUGCCUUGGAACCAGCUGACCAUGGACUGAGUCUUCUAAAAUCCAUGGACCCAAAUAAACCACCCCUCCUGUGUAGUUGCUGGUGUUGGAUAUUGUAGAUAGUGUAUCUCAGCAACAGGAAAAGAACCUGCAGAGGCCAGGGAUUUAGCUCAGUGGUUCCGCUACUUGCCUCGCAAGCGCCGGGACCAGAGUUCGAUCCUCGGAACCUAAAAAAUAAAAUGAAAAAAAAGGAAAAGAAAAGAGCCUACAACAUAACACAUGAGCUGAAGAAUGGCUGUAGUGAUACAGUGCUUGCCUAGCAUAUUUAAGGCCCUUGGUUCAAUCCCCAGCAUCACAAGAAAAAAUUGUGUUAAAACAUGUAUAGAUACAAGGUCUGGGGAUGUAGCUCAGCAGUAGAAUGCUUGCCUAGCAUGCAUGAGAUACUGGGUUGAAUCCUCAAUAGCACACACACACCCCCUUUAUUUGAGCAUGUUAAAGAAGACCUAAGUAAAAGAUACUGUGUUCAUAGUUUGAAAGAUCUUUUUUUUUUGGUACCAGGGAUCGAACUCAGGACCUUGCACUUAUGAGGCAGGCGGUGGAACCACUGAGCUAAAUCCCCAGCCCUUGAAAGAUUUAUUACAAUGAUGUCAGUUCUCCCAUAUUGAUCUAGAUUCAUUGCUGUUCCAAGCGACUUCAUAACAGAAUUUUCCCUCAAAUUUGAUAUGAUUGUUGUAAAAUUUAUACGAGAGUCAGUAGGCAAGGCCUUCAAUAAAGGUAGAUUGUUGGACUCAGUCUCUUGCCUUCCAUUGGCUUGAGUACCUUUCCCUCUGCCAUGCCUCUCUGCCAUCCUAUUGCAACCUUAGAGGCAGCCGACCAUGGGCUGAAAUCAUGAACUAAAAUAAAGUACUCUUCUUUAAGUUGUGGGUGUUAGGUAUUUUGUCCCAGCAACAGGAAAAUGACUAAGACAGCAUUUUAUUAUCUCACAUAAAUAUCUUGGGAUUGGUAGUCCUAAAGCUGGCUCUCCAGGCUCUUUCUUUGCUCUGCCAUCUUCAUUACAUGGACAUGGCCUUAUCACAAGAUAAUUGCUCCAGCUUCAUGUCCUAAUAAACAACAUCCCAAGCAGUAAAUGAGGGGAUAGAUAGGGACUUGCUUUUCUAUAGAAACCUUUUCCUGGCGGGAAUAGAGGUGCCUCCUGUACUGCUAGCAUUUGGGAGGCAGGAGAAUCACAAGUUUUAGGACAGCCCAGACUACAUAGUCUUAAAAACACCCCAACACCCCCACCCCUGGCAAGCUGGGGAUGUAGCUCAGUGGCGCCACACCUCCCUAGCAAGCACAAGGUCCUGAGUUCGAUCCCCAGUACCACAAAACCCUCAAAACAAAAAAAAUUUUCCCUAAAAGAAAAAAAAGGUUUAUUAUGGGGGGAUAGCCUUGAGGAAAGAUAUUUGCAACACGUAUUUUAUACUAUGUAAGUAAGAUCAAUAAAAGAAUGGUAAAAUAAGAAUAGGUUUUAUUUUUAAAAAAGCAAAAGAGAAAGACUCAGCCAGGCAUGGUGGUACACACCUGUAAUCCCAGUACUUUGUGAGGCUGAGAAAUGAGGGUUGCAAAUUCUAGGAUACCCUGGGCUACAUAGUGAGUCCCUGUCUACAAAACAAACAAACAAAAAACUACCAUUUUGUAUACUCCAGCAAAGUAAAGAAUAACCUCUGGCCUGGCACUCUGUAUUUUGGUGAGUGUGUGGGGGCAAACAACUCUUCAAAUAUUGCAUCUGAUAAUAUAAGCUGUUAACACCUGGUUAGAAAGUGAUAUGGUAUUACUUUGUGAAGUUGAAGAUGUACUAGUCAGCAACCUCUUCCUUUAUUUUCCUUUUCUUUUGGAGGGGGGUACCGGGAAUUGAACAGGGACCUUGUGAUUGCUAGGCAGGUGCCGGAACCACUGAGCCAAAUCCCCGGGCCCUCCUUUCCUUUAUUUACACAUUCAUUCAGUAAAUACUUUUUGAGUAUCUACUGUGAGCCAGAUAAUGUUCUUUGUGCUUGAGAUCAGUGGGAGACACCUGAUACUAUAUAUGGUAUAAGAUCAAUGCUCUAGGAAAAUGUUAUAUUAGAACAAAAAGCAUUCAAUAUUGGGCCAACUUCAUGUAUUUCACUUCAUAUAUGAGUUCUAAGAUUAUUAUACAGUAUGCCAUUACAUCAGCCACAAAAUACUUUGAAUACUUACCAAAAAUCCCUCACAUUGCAUUAUCAAAAUUCUUCAUAAUUUCUUAACUGAAAACUAGAUUAUAUCCUAGUUCAUUUCUAGGAGAUACAAGAAUUACAAACUGUCUGAUUUAUGAAAUGAUUUGCUACCCAGUCAAGAAUUUUCUGUUUCUAGAAGGCAUACCCAAAAGCCUUUACCAAAGAAGUCUUAUCAAAUUACUAAAUUGUAUCUGUUGCUCUUGUACUUGAAGGCACUUUGUUUAUAGAGCCAAAAUUAAACAAGACUGGUUAAGUCAGACACUGCAUAUUUUGGGAUUUUCCCAUAGGCUAUUAAAAGAAAGAUCUCUGUGCACCAGCCAGAGUUCAGUAGCAUUACAGGAAGACAUUUCUAAAUUAUUUUAUAUAGCAGAACAGAAAUAUCAUUUAUGGUUGAAGAUGUGUUUAAUUAAAAUUAUGGUUUUGUCAGAAUUAGCAUGUCAGCAUCAGAAAGGGAGAAUUAAAUAAAGGGGUUUUUUUUGUUCCAAGUUUAGGGCAUACAUUCCAUAUUACACUUCAGGAACAUUUGUCACACAUAAGUGAUUUAGGUUUUUUUGUUUUUUAGGUUUUCUUUUUUUAAGAGUUCAUUUUUACUGACUUUCCUAGGGACUUUUAAAAAACAAUUCAUUAAUAUUCCCAUAAUUUUUCCCCAUAAUAUUUUGAAUACUAUUAAACCUAUAUUCAUUUUUUGCUCCAGUGAAAAUCAUUUAUUCACUGUCAUUCAUCAGUCUCUACAAAUUUACUCAUUCUUAUUAUAAACUUAACAAAUUGAUUUAAUAGGGAUAUUUCAAAAUUAAGGACAUGUCAGUGUUCAGUAAGUUUCAAGGGAAAGUUUUCUCUGGUUAGGAGUGAGUAGGCUCUCUGGGAGAGUGAAUAGACUUUAUAUAAUUUUUAAGAUUGGAAAGAAGAAUAGAAACGCUUAGAGGGAAAUUCAGGCUUUAGAAAGGGGUUUUGUUUCAUAUUGGGAAAGAAAUGAGUUGUCUGUCUGUCUUUAUUAGAUAGAUGAACCCAGUGUGCAUAAAGGUUGAAGUUACCAGAAGCAGUAAUUGGUAAUGCUACUGGACUCUGGAGAAAAUGAGAGUGGUUGAGAUCAGGGGCACAGGUAGAAUAAUACCUUACUUAAAGAAGGCCUGAAAGCCAGGCAUGGUGGCGCACACCUGUAAUCCCAGCACUCCGGAGGCUGAGGCAGGAAGAUUACUGUGAGUCUGAGGUCAGGUGUGGUGGCACACACCUGCAAUCCCAGCACUCAAGAGGCUGAGGCAGGAGGAUCACCACAAGUUCAAGGCCAGGCUGUGUCCCCAAUCCCCUGAUCACCAGGAUUGAACUCAGGACCUUGCGCUUGCCAGGCAGGCAUGACAUCACUGAGCUACAUCCUUGGCCCUAGGAUUGUAAAUUUGAGACCAGCCUAGGCAGUUUACCAGGACUCUGUAUGAAAUUUUUAGAAGGCUGGGGAUGUAACUCAGUAAUCUCUCUUGAUUCAUUUCUCUUGGGGGGGAGGGGGUACAUGUACUCUGAACCAGAGAACCAGCAGCAAAUAAUUAUUCCUAAACUAGCUGUUCUGUCUACAGUUUGGCCCAGAACUCCAGGCCUGUGUCAGUGAGCAAACCUGUCCUGUUCCAGCUUAAUUUCAAAAUAAUCUGCCUGCUGCCCAAAAAAGCAACCUAUGGAGAUUCAGACCCCUGUCCAUAUAGAUACCCUUCACAUCCUAAUUAGACAGAAGACCCUGCUAUGGACAUCUGUGGCUCCUUUUUUCUGCAGCUCUUUUUCCUGCCACCCCAUACAUCCUUACUUUGUUUGACAAUUUCUAUUGACUUUUGGAUAGAAUUUCUUCAGGAAGGGGAGAAAGAGUGGGAGGUGCAAAACAAAAGUCAUUUUAAAAUUUCUAUACAGUAUGGUCAGAGAACGUGGAAUGUUUUAUUCUUUUGAAAUGAGAUUUUGUUUUAACUAGUACAUGGGCAGUUUUUAUGACUGUUCCAGUUGUGCUCAAGGAAUAUAUAGUGUGUUUGAUACAUAUACUUAUAUUUCAACUUUACGUUAUUCAGAUCUUUUAUAUGAUUGUCCUAUUACUCUUUUGAGACAGGGUCUUGCCAUGAGUUCAGACUGGCCUUGAACUCACUAUGUAGCCCAGGUUGGCCUCAAACUCAGGGUGAUCCUCCUGCUUCAGCCUCCUGAGUGCUGGGAUUAUAGCAUGUGCCACCAUGCCCAACAAUUCUAUUAUUACUCUUUAAGUAUUAGAAGCACAUGAGAACCAUGGAGAGUAAUGUAUAUAGUCUUGUAUUUAUCACUCAGCAUGAGAAAUAAUGCAAUACAUACAUAGUUGAAUACCUCUGGAACCCUUUUAAAAUUCUUUUCCUUUCAUUUCCUCACAGACAUAUUCACUAUUUUAGGAAGUUGAGGCAAAAAGUUUGAGCCUUUCCCGGCAACUUAGUGACUAGAUAAAUCCCUGUCUCAAAAUAAAAAGGCCAGGGAUGUAGCUCAGCUCAUAGGCCCUGGGUUCAGUCCUGGUAUGGUGAGGAAAAGUAAAUAAGAGUAGAUCAAGAUCAAGGCUGCCAAGUUGGAUACAUGAGAAUAUCCUCCAAACUAAAAUGCCAGUACAGACCAGAAUUGCCCACGGAUACAGAAAUUCUCUUCUAUCAAAAAACUUUUUAGGGAGGCUGAGGCAGGUGAGUUCGAGGCCAGCCUGGAAUAUUGAGACCCUGUCUUCAAUUACAAAACAAACAAUUUUUUAGUUCUAAAAGAACAUUGGAGAUUUGCCAGAGAAAUUUUUGUCAUCUCAGUGCAUAUCAAGUUAGAGCAUAAGUGUUUUUAAAUCUCAAAUUGAUAGCUAAGUAUCCAGAGAUAAGUAUUAUAUAGAUACAUGAGGCAUACUGUGACAGGUAUCUUGCUUUAAGCCUCUAGCUAUGGAUAUUAUUAAUUAGAUAUUGAUGCCUGUGGUAAUAUACCAGCAAGCUAUAAUGGUUCUUUGACCACUUAUAGCAAGCUAUUUCACUUAUGAGAGAAAAAUCUAAAUCUAAAAAGAUCCAUUUGGUAGCACACUUGCCUAGCAUGUGUGAGGCCCUGAGUUCAAUCCCCAGCACUUGGAUGGAUGGAUGGAUGGAUGGAUGGACGGAUGGGUGAAUCCAUCCAUCUGUCUGUCCAACCAUUAAUUUGCAUUUCUGAUUUUUAUUUUUUUGGUACUGGGGAUCAAACUCGGGUCCUUGCGCUUGCAAGGCAGGUGGUGAAGCCAUUGAGCUAAAUCCCCAGCCCUGCAUUUCUGAAUUUUUAUUACGCUUUGUUUAGGUACUUUUUUAAAUCCCUAAAAGACUUACUAUCCAGUUAUGUUGUUAUAAGUCGUAACACAUUAUAUUUAAUAUCUAAAUUGGAUUUUGACUCUCAAGACCAAGAUCAUUUGACUCAUUUUAGCAAUUAUAUAUGACAGUGAUUUUGCUCCUUGUGAUUCUGUUAUCUU